UGCAUCGGCCGGGAAUCGAACCUGGGCCGCCCGCGUGGCAGGCGAGCAUUCUACCACAGAACCACCGAUGG
rnacentral:tRNA from 1 species